CCUACGGGGGACAGCAGUGGGGGAUCUUGCACAAUGGGGGAAACCCUGAUGCAGCGACGCCGCGUGAGUGAAGAAGUAUUUCGGUAUGUAAAGCUCUAUCAGCAGGGAAGAACAUGACAGUACCUGACUAAGAAGCCCCGGCUAACUACGUGCCAGCAGCCGCGGUAAUACGUAGGGGGCAAGCGUUGGCCGGAUUUACUGGGUGUAAAGGGAGCGUAGGCGGUUAUGUAAGUCUGGAGUGAAAGCCCGGGGCCCAACCGCGGGACUGCAUUGGAAACUGUGUAACUGGAGUGCAGGAGGGGCGGGCGGAAUUCCAGGUGUAGCGGUGAAAUGCGUAGAUAUCAGGAGGAACACCAGCGGCGAAGGCGGCCUGCUGGACUGAAACUGACGUUGAGGCUCGAAAGCGUGGGGAGCAAACAGGAUUAGAUACCCGAGUAGUC
rnacentral:rRNA from 1 species